rnacentral:rRNA from 1 species
UUGCAGGCUGCAACCCGCCUGCAUGAAGUUGGAAUCGCUAGUAAUCGCGGAUCAGAAUGCCGCGGUGAAUACGUUCCCGGGUCUUGUACACACCGCCCGUCACACCAUGGGAGUCGGUAAUACCCGAAGUCAGUAGUCUAACCGCAAGGGGGACGCUGCCGAAGGUAGGAUUGGCGACUGGGGUGAAGUCGUAACAAGGUAAC